UACAGAGGUCUCAAGCGUUGUUCGGAUUCAUUGGGCGUAAAGGGUGCGUAGGCGGCGCGGUAAGUCGGGUGUGAAAUCUCGGAGCUUAACUCCGAAACUGCAUUCGAUACUGCCGUGCUUGAGGACUGGAGAGGAGACUGGAAUUUACGGUGUAGCAGUGAAAUGCGUAGAUAUCGUAAGGAAGACCAGUGGUGAAGGCGGGUCUCUGGACAGUUCCUGACGCUGAGGCACGAAGGUCAGGGGAGCAAACGGG
rnacentral:rRNA from 1 species